rnacentral:pre_miRNA from 1 species
UAUAAGGGAUUUUGAGUUUUUGCUUGCACCGUUUGACCACUUGUCUUAUUCAAAAAAUUUUGGAAUUAUUAUUAUUUUUUUGACUUACUUUAUUAUCCAAAGUACUUUAAGCACAACUUUUUGUUUUUUGUAUUUGCCCAAAUUUUUUUAAUAAAACGAGUGGUCAAACGGUGUAAACAAAAAAUCAAAAUCCCUUACA